GCAGACACACUCUGUUCUUUGCUGCUUACUCCAGCCUGGGACUUUUUCUGUCUGCUACAUAAACACGCAGAAUGUAACACGAUUAGCUUGGCUAAAAGUCUGCUGGUGUUGCAUUUUUCUACAUUUCG
ensembl:snoRNA SNORA77B small nucleolar RNA SNORA77